GGUGAUAAUGAUACAAACGUCGUUUUAAUGACAACAAAGGAUCUAGAAUAUUACAUAAACUUAGUUGAUAAAGCAGCGGCAGGGUUUGAGAGGAUUGACCC